ACAUGACUCUCGGCAAUGGAUAUCUCGGCUCUCGCAUCGAUGAAGAGCGCAGCGAAAUGCGAUAUGUGGUGCGAAUUGCAGAAUCCCGCGAACCAUCGAGUCUUUGAACGCAAGUUGCGCCCGAGGCCAACCGGCUAAGGGCACGUCCGCCUGGGCGUCAAGC
rnacentral:rRNA from 1 species